rnacentral:rRNA from 1 species
GAUGAACGCUAGCGGCAGGCUUAAUACAUGCAAGUCGAGGGACAGCACAGGUAGCAAUACUGGGUGGUAACCGGCAAACGGGUGCGGAACACGUACACAGCCUUCCUUUAAGUGGGGGAUAGCCCAGAGCAAUUUGGAUUAAUACCCCGUAAUAUAGUUGAAUGGCAUCAUUUGAUUAUUAUAGCUACGGCGCUUAAUGAUGGGUGUGCGGCUGAUUAGAUAGUUGGCGGGGUAACGGCCCACCAAGUCUACGAUCAGUAGCUGAUGUGAGAGCAUGAUCAGCCACACGGGCACUGAGACACGGGCCCGACUCCUACGGGAGGCAGCAGUAAGGAACAUUGGUCAAUGGACGCAAGUCUGAACCAGCCAUGCCGCGUGAAGGAUUAAGGUCCUCUGGAUUGUAAACUUCUUUUAUUUGGGACGAAAAAGGGCCUUUCGAGGUCAACUGACGGUACCAGAUGAAUAAGCACCGGCCAACUCCGUGCCAGCCGCCGCCGUAACAC